rnacentral:tmRNA from 2 species
GGGGCUGAUUCUGGAUUCGACGGGAUUUGCGAAACCCAAGGUGCAUGCCGAGGGGCGGUUGGCCUCGUAAAAAGCCGCAAAAAAAUAGUUGCAAACGACGAAAACUACGCUUUAGCAGCUUAAUAACCUGCUUAGAGCCCUCUCUCCCUAGCCUCCGCUCUUAGGACGGGGAUCAAGAGAGGUCAAACCCAAAAGAGAUCGCGCGGAUGCCCUGCCUGGGGUUGAAGCGUUAAAACGAAUCAGGCUAGUCUGGUAGUGGCGUGUCCGUCCGCAGGUGCCAGGCGAAUGUAAAGACUGACUAAGCAUGUAGUACCGAGGAUGUAGGAAUUUCGGACGCGGGUUCAACUCCCGCCAGCUCCACCA